UCUGUCUCCUGCUUCAACAGUAUUUGGACAGAACAGACCCAGGGAUGCCCCUUUUUCCAGCCUCCGGCCACUCUCCUGUGUCUUAUCCAGUCACGGGGCAUAUUCAGAACCAGCCAACACACC